rnacentral:rRNA from 1 species
GACGAACGCUGGCGGCGUGCCUAAUAUAUGCAAGUCGAGCGAAGUUUUUCUGGUGCUUGCACUGUGAUAACUUCGCGGCAAACGGGUGAGUCACACGUAAAGACUCUCUCUCAUAGACUGGUACAACUAUGGAAAAGGAUAGCAAAUAGCGGAUAAUUGUAUUAAGUGCAUUGCUGAAGUUUAAGAGUGUGUUUUGCUAACAUAUAGAGAUGGCUUUGCUGUGCAUUAGCUAGUUGGUGGGGUAAAGUCCUACCAAGGCAACGAUGCAUAGCCGACCUGAGAGGGUGAUCGGCCACACUGGAACUGAGACACGGCCCAGACUCCUACGGGAGGCAGCAGUAGGGAAUCUUCCGCAAUGGGCGAAAGCCUGACGGAGCAACGCCGCGUGAGUGAAGAAGGUUUUCGGUUCGUAAAGCUCUGUUAUUAGGGAAGAACGAUUGUGUAGUUAAUAUACACAGUAGAGACGGUACCUAACCAGAAAGCCACGGCUAACUACGUG